rnacentral:misc_RNA from 1 species
GAAAUGCGAUAAGUAAUGUGAAUUGCAGAAUUCAGUGAAUCAUCGAAUCUUUGAACGCACAUUGCGCCCGCCAGUAUUGUGGCGGGCAUGCCUGUUCGAGCGUCAUUACAACCCUCAGGCCCCCGGGCCUGGCGUUGGGGAUCGGCGGAAGCCCCCUGCGGGCACAACGCCGUCCCCCAAAUACAGUGGCGGUCCCGCCGCAGCUUCCAUUGCGUAGUAGCUAACACCUCGCAACUGGAGAGCGGCGCGGCCACGCCGUAAAACACCCAACUUCUGAAUGUUGACCUCGAAUCAGGUAGGAAUACCCGCUGAACUUAAGC